GAUGAACGCUGGCGGCGUGCCUAAUACAUGCAAGUCGAGCGAACAGACGAGGAGCUUGCUCCUCUGACGUUAGCGGCGGACGGGUGAGUAACACGUGGAUAACCUACCUAUAAGACUGGGAUAACUUCGGGAAACCGGAGCUAAUACCGGAUAAUAUAUUUAACCGCAUGGUUCAAUAGUGAAAGACGGUUUUGCUGUCACUUAUAGAUGGAUCCGCGCCGCAUUAGCUAGUUGGUAAGGUAACGGCUUACCAAGGCAACGAUGCGUAGCCGACCUGAGAGGGUGAUCGGCCACACUGGAACGGAGACACGGUCCAGAAUCCUACGGGAGGCAGCAGUAGGGAAUCUUCCGCAAUGGGCGAAAGCCUGACGGAGCAACGCCGCGUGAGUGAUGAAGGUCUUCGGAUCGUAAAACUCUGUUAUUAGGGAAGAACAAAUGUGUAAGUAACUAUGCAAGUCUUGACGGUACCUAAUCAGAAAGCCACGGCUAACUACGUG
rnacentral:rRNA from 1 species